rnacentral:rRNA from 1 species
GAGUGAAGCGGGAAAAGCUCAAAUUUUGAAUCUGGCGGUCUGUCGGCCGUCCGAGUUGUAAUCUAGAGAAGUGUCUUCUGCGCUGGCCUGUGUACAAGUCUCCUGGAAGGGAGCAUCAUAGAGGGUGAGAAUCCCGUCUUUGACACAGACUACCAGGGCUAUGUGAUGCGCUCUCGACGAGUCGAGUUGUUUGGGAAUGCAGCUCAAAAUGGGUGGUAAAUUCCAUCUAAAGCUAAAUACAGGCGAGAGACCGAUAGCGAACAAGUACCGUGAGGGAAAGAUGAAAAGAACUUUGGAAAGAGAGUUAAAUAGUACGUGAAAUUGCUGAAAGGGAAACGCUUGAUGUCAGUCACAUCGGGCAGGGAUCAACCUUGCUUCUCGCUGGGUGUACUUCCUGGUCGAUGGGUCAGCAUCAGUUUCGGUCGCCGUAGAAGGGCGAAGGGAAUGUGGCACUCUUCUUGGGUGUGUUAUAGCCUUUGGUCAGAUGCGGUGGUUGGGACUGAGGAACUCGGCACGAUUUCGAUCUGUGCUUAGGAUGCUGGCAUAAUGGCCUUAAGCGACCCGUCUUGAAACACGGACCAAGGAGUCUAACAUGCAUGCGAGUGUUUGGGUGGAAAACCCAGGCGCGGAAUGAAAGUGAAUGUCGAGACCUCUGUCGUGGAGGGCACCGAUGCCCGGUCUAGAGUCUUUGACGACGGAUCUGCGGUAGAGCAUGUAUGUUGGGACCCGAAAGAUGGUGAACUAUGCCUGAAUAGGGUGAAGCCAGAGGAAACUCUGGUGGAGGCUCGUAGCGAUUCUGACGUGCAAAUCGAUCGUCGAAUUUGGGUAUAGGGGC